rnacentral:rRNA from 1 species
UCCACGCCGUAAACGAUGUCAACUAGCUGUUGGCCCUAUUAAAAAGGGUUAGUAGCGAAGCUAACGCGAUAAGUUGACCGCCUGGGGGAGUACGGUCGCAAGAUUAAAAACUCAAAGGAAUUGACGGGGGCCCCACAAGCGGUGGAGCAUGUGGUUUAAUUCGAUGCAACGCGAAGAACCUUACCC